GAUUCUAUGGUCUAGAGGUUAUGACGUUUGCUUCACACGCAGAAGGUCCCCAGUUCGAUCCUGGGUUGAAUCA